GACGAACGCUGGCGGCGUGCUUAACACAUGCAAGUCGAACGGUAAGGCCCUUCGGGGUACACGAGUGGCGAACGGGUGAGUAACACGUGGGUGAUCUGCCCUGCACUUCGGGAUAAGCCUGGGAAACUGGGUCUAAUACCGGAUAGGACUCCUGGCUUCAUGGUUGGGGGUGGAAAGCUUUUGCGGUGUGGGAUGGGCCCGCGGCCUAUCAGCUUGUUGGUGGUGUAAUGGCCUACCAAGGCGACGACGGGUAGCCGGCCUGAGAGGGUGACCGGUCACACGGGGACUGAGAUACGGCGCAGACUCCUACGGGAGGCAGCAGUGGGGAAUAUUGCACAAUGGGCGCAAGCCUGAUGCAGCGACGCCGCGUGAGGGAUGACGGCCUUCGGGUUGUAAACCUCUUUCAGCUAUGACGAAGCGCAAGUGACGGUAGUAGCAGAAGAAGGACCGGCCAACUACGUGCCAGCCGCCGCGGUAA
rnacentral:rRNA from 1 species